CAGUUCGGAUUGUAGUCUGCAACCCGACUACAUGAAGCUGGAAUCGCUAGUAAUCGCGGAUCAGAAUGCCGCGGUGAAUACGUUCCCGGGUCUUGUACACACCGCCCGUCACACCAUGGGAGUCGGAAAUGCCCGAAGUCUGUGACCCAACCGAAAGGAGGGAGCAGCCGAAGGCAGGUCGGAUGACUGGGGUGAAGUCGUAACAAGGUACC
rnacentral:rRNA from 1 species